rnacentral:lncRNA from 1 species
UGAACAGGAGACUACAGCAGGGUGUAAUAAACAGGACAGGAGACUACAGCAGGGUGUAAUGAACAGGAGACUACAGCAGGGUGUAAUGAACAGGACAGGAGACUACAGCAGGGUGUAAUAAACAGGACAGGAGACUACAGCAGGGUGUAAUGAACAGGAGACUACAGCAGGGUGUAAUAAACAGGACAGGAGACUACAGCAGGGUGUAAUGAACAGGAGACUACAGCAGGUUGUAAUAAACAGGACAGGAGACUACAGCCAGGGAUAUUUUCCACCUCAUAUAGAUGUUUCUACUCCAGAAAAGCGCCAUCCCUCCCCAUCCCCGACAGUGGCUUUUCUAGAAACAUCCUAAACAGUCAUAACGUAGCUGUUCUUUCUCCAGUUUUUACC